rnacentral:rRNA from 1 species
UGGUCUUUACCAUGCAAGUCGAACGGCAGCGGGGGUAGCUUGCUACCUGCCGGCGAGUGGCGAACGGGUGAGUAAUACAUCGGAACGUGCCCUGUAGUGGGGGAUAACUAGUCGAAAGACUAGCUAAUACCGCAUACGACCUGAGGGUGAAAGUGGGGGACCGCAAGGCCUCAUGCUAUAGGAGCGGCCGAUGUCUGAUUAGCUAGUUGGUGGGGUAAAGGCCCACCAAGGCGACGAUCAGUAGCUGGUCUGAGAGGACGAUCAGCCACACUGGGACUGAGACACGGCCCAGACUCCUACGGGAGGCAGCAGUGGGGAAUUUUGGACAAUGGGGGCAACCCUGAUCCAGCAAUGCCGCGUGUGUGAAGAAGGCCUUCGGGUUGUAAAGCACUUUUGUCCGGAAAGAAAUCGCACUGGUUAAUACCUGGUGUGGAUGACGGUACCGGAAGAAUAAGGACCGGCUAACUACGUGCCAGCAGCCGCGGUAAUACGUAGGGUCCAAGCGUUAAUCGGAAUUACUGGGCGUAAAGCGUGCGCAGGCGGUUGUGCAAGACCGAUGUGAAAUCCCCGGGCUUAACCUGGGAAUUGCAUUGGUGACUGCACGGCUAGAGUGUGUCAGAGGGAGGUAGAAUUCCACGUGUAGCAGUGAAAUGCGUAGAGAUGUGGAGGAAUACCGAUGGCGAAGGCAGCCUCCUGGGAUAACACUGACGCUCAUGCACGAAAGCGUGGGAGCAAACAGGAUUAGAUACCCUGGUAGUCCACGCCCUAAACGAUGUCAACUAGUUGUUGGGGAUUCAUUUCCUUAGUAACGUAGCUAACGCGUGAAGUUGACCGCCUGGGGAGUACGGUCGCAAGAUUAAAACUCAAAGGAAUUGACGGGGACCCGCACAAGCGGUGGAUGAUGUGGAUUAAUUCGAUGCAACGCGAAAAACCUUACCUACCCUUGACAUGCCACUAACGAAGCAGAGAUGCAUUAGGUGCUCGAAAGAGAAAGUGGACACAGGUGCUGCAUGGCUGUCGUCAGCUCGUGUCGUGAGAUGUUGGGUUAAGUCCCGCAACGAGCGCAACCCUUGUCUCUAGUUGCUACGAAAGGGCACUCUAGAGAGACUGCCGGUGACAAACCGGAGGAAGGUGGGGAUGACGUCAAGUCCUCAUGGCCCUUAUGGGUAGGGCUUCACACGUCAUACAAUGGUGCAUACAGAGGGUUGCCAAGCCGCGAGGUGGAGCUAAUCCCAGAAAAUGCAUCGUAGUCCGGAUCGUAGUCUGCAACUCGACUACGUGAAGCUGGAAUCGCUAGUAAUCGCGGAUCAGCAUGCCGCGGUGAAUACGUUCCCGGGUCUUGUACACACCGCCCGUCACACCAUGGGAGUGGGCUUUACCAGAAGUAGUUAGCCUAACCGCAAGGAGGGCGAUAGGCGUCU